rnacentral:tRNA from 1 species
CUGGAUUUAAACCCCAAAUAUAAAGCUUAAACUUUUUUUAGAA